rnacentral:misc_RNA from 1 species
GGCGGUAGAGGGCAAGGAGGAGUGCCAUGCGUGCGCAGGCUAGGGGUCUAGGGUACCUCCUCCCCCCCCAGAACUGUCACUCGUGUUUGGCACCCAGAGUAUCGAUUUUUGGCCAGUGUUCAGUUGGAUACUGUUCAUGCCACGAGUGGAAUAUGUAUCUUGGUGUGUAAACCCCCUUGAUUGAGUUACCGAAGCAGUGUCAGUGAGGCUGAGAGGACCGCGGCAAGAUGACCAAGGACAGGCUAGCAGCGCUCAGAGCCGCGCAAAGUGAUGAAGAUGAUGUCGGGCCAGACGAUGUGGCUGUUAAUGUGGACGGCAAUGUGGGCUACAUGGACGACUUCUUCAACGAGGUGGAGGAGAUACGGGAGAUGAUAGAGAAGAUACAGAACAAUGUGGAGGAGGUCAAGAAGAAACACAGCGAGAUCCUCUCAGCGCCGCAGACAGACGAGAAGGUGAAACAGGAGCUGGAUGAUAUGAUGACCGAUAUCAAGAAGACGGCCAACAGAGUUAGAGCCAAGCUCAAAGUAAUUGAGCAAAAUAUCGAGUCGGAAGAACAUGUGAGUAAGGCGAGUGCCGACCUGAGGAUAAAGAAGACUCAACACUCAACGUUGAGUCGCAAGUUUGUCGAGGUGAUGACCGAGUACAACCGCACACAGACGGACUACCGUGAACGCUGCAAGGGCAGGAUACAGCGACAGCUUGAAAUUACUGGGCGAAAUACCACUAGUGACGAGUUGGAAGACAUGUUAGAACAGGGCAAUCCAGCUGUCUUCACACAAGGGAUCAUCAUGGAGACCCAGCAAGCAAAACAGACUUUGGCGGAUAUCGAGGCUCGACAUGCAGAUAUUAUCAAGUUAGAAACCUCCAUCAGAGAACUCCACGACAUGUUUAUGGACAUGGCCAUGCUGGUGGAGAGUCAGGGGGAGAUGAUUGAUAGGAUUGAAUAUCACGUAGAUCAGUCCGUCGAAUAUGUCGGCAAAGCUAUGGAGGACACUAAAAAGGCACUUAAGUAUCAAAGCAAAGCACGCAAGAAGAAGAUAAUGAUCAUGGUGUGUGUGUCGGUUCUGUGUGUUGUCCUGAGUCUCAGCGGCGCCUCCUACCUGGGCCUAAUCUAACCUUCUACUGCUUCGUUGUAACUAAAUUAAUAACUCUACUACCCCUCUACUGGUAAUGAGCCUCCAGUGAGUAUAUGUCUUUAACCUCUCUCUCUCUGCAGGGAAUGACAACUGAGUGGUUUUGCAAAGUGCCUCCCCUGCAGUUUCUGGCCCUCCAGCAUGUGGAAGGUUCCUCUCUUCCUCUACUUUUUUCUAUUUUAGGGAUAUCAGUCUAAUACCACUUAGGUGCUGGAUACUUCUUAAGCAUUUACUUUUCAAUUUUCCUUGCCAGAAAGAUUGUACAAAUUAAAAUGAAAAGUACAGACUUCCAGUGGCAAAAAAUUUUUUUUUGAGUAGUUUGAGUAAAUAAGAGCCAGCUUGUCAAGUGGUGUUGAGUUAUUAUACUUUUCUCUAUCCCUGCAAAACUUUUCACUUCUGUACCCCUAGGCUCAUCCACCCUCCCUCUUUUCUUCAUAUGCAAUCAAAAUUUUGAAUAUUAUUUUUUUUUUAAAUUAGUGAAUGAUCAUUAAAAAGUCUUAAUUUCUAUAAUUAGAUUUUUAGUUUGAUUUUCAUUCUUAUAUAAUACAUAUUCACAGAAUUGCUAAUGAAGGUUGUUCGGCACUUCACUGGCAGUUGUUGUUUUUACUCUUAUUCUUCUUGGCAUGAUAAAAGCUUCCCGUCUCUAGUGUUCUCCCCGGCCUCUUCUCUCUCUACCUUUUUAAGGCCACCCACCUGGAAUGCCUUUGAUGUGGUGUAAAAACUUUUAAGAAAGAAACUAGGAAGUGGUUGUUGGGCCAAGUUAGUGUUUAUGUCUUGAAUUUUAAGACAACUGUUGGUUAGUUUUCUCUCAUAGUGACAAUUAGCGAUAGUUAUCUCGGGCAUGAUCCUGCUUGGCACACAAUAAAAUUUACAUUUUUCUUUCUUACAUUUUUUAUCCCACAACUAGUGACCACCCCAGGAUGAACACUGUUACCGCAGCAGGUGCAUGGGUUCCACUGUCCCAGUCUAAGGUAGCCAAAUAGUAGCUACAUUCUGCUUAAUCAGGCCUCAGUAGAGAGGUGGUGAACUUUCUAACCUUCAUGGAGGUUUGUUUUAUCCCUGUACGUACCUUUUUUUAUGAUUUUUUAAUGAGCAAUGUGCCUGUGCACCCCUUGCAGAAGAAGAUCAUGAUCAUGGUGUGUGUGGCAAUACUAUGCGUGGUGCUCGCUUCCACCAUAGGAGGCUACUUCGGCUUGUAACUCAUCCUUCAGUCAUCUUGUACAUGCUAGAUCUUCAGUGAAAGGCACGUCUCUCUCUCCCUCCUUCCU